rnacentral:rRNA from 1 species
AUCCUCCAAGGCUAAAUACUCCUGACUGACCGAUAGUGAACCAGUACCGUGAGGGAAAGGCGAAAAGAACCCCGGCGAGGGGAGUGAAACAGAACCUGAAACCGUGUACGUACAAGCAGUGGGAGCCCUCUUUAUGGGGGUGACUGCGUACCUUUUGUAUAAUGGGUCAGCGACUUAUAUUCUGUAGCAAGGUUAACCGUAUAGGGGAGCCGCAGGGAAACCGAGUCUUAACUGGGCGUUAAGUUGCAGGGUAUA